GAAGGUAUAGCUCAAGUGGUAGAGUGCAUGCUUGGUAUGCACAAGGUCCUGGGUUCAAUCCCCAGUACCUUCU
rnacentral:tRNA from 1 species